AGCAGCCGCGGUAAUUCCAGCUCCAAUAGCGUAUAUUAAAGUUGUUGCAGUUAAAAGCUCGUAGUUGAAUUUCGGGGUCAGUAGGUCGGUCGUGCCACUGGUAUGAACCGGUUUUUACUGAUUCCCUCCCUCUUGAAGAACUGUAAUGCCAUUAAUUUGGUGUUGCAGGGAAUCAGGACUGUUACUUUGAAAAAAUUAGAGUGUUUAAAGCAGGCUUUAGCUUGAAUACAUUAGCAUGGAAUAAUGAAAUAGGACGUUUGAUCCUAUUUUGUUUGGUUUGCUAGGAUUUGACGUAAUGAUUAAUAGGGAUAGUUGGGGGGCAUUAGUAUUCAAUUGUCAGAGGUGAAAUUCUUGGAUUUAUUGAAGACUAACUACUGCGAAAGCAUUUGCCAAGGAUGUUUUCAUUAAUCAAGAACGAAAGUUAGGGGAUCGAAGACGAUCAGAUACCGUCGUAGUCUUAACCAUAAACUAUGCCGACUAGGGAUCGGAUGAUGUUAAUUUUUUAAUGACUCAUUCGGCG
rnacentral:rRNA from 1 species